rnacentral:rRNA from 1 species
GAUGAACGCUGGCGGCGUGCCUAAUACAUGCAAGUCGAGCGAACGGACGAGAAGCUUGCUUCUCUGAUGUUAGCGGCGGACGGGUGAGUAACACGUGGAUAACCUACCUAUAAGACUGGGAUAACUUCGGGAAACCGGAGCUAAUACCGGAUAAUAUUUUGAAUCGCAUGGUUCAAAAGUGAAAGACGGUCUUGCUGUCACUUAUAGAUGGAUCCGCGCUGCAUUAGCUAGUUGGUAAGGUAACGGCUUACCAAGGCAACGAUGCAUAGCCGACCUGAGAGGGUGAUCGGCCACACUGGAACUGAGACACGGUCCAGACUCCUACGGGAGGCAGCAGUAGGGAAUCUUCCGCAAUGGGCGAAAGCUUGACGGAGCAACGCCGCGUGAGUGAUGAAGGUCUUCGGAUCGUAAAACUCUGUUAUUAGGGAAGAACAUAUGUGUAAGUAACUGUGCACAUCUUGACGGUACCUAAUCAGAAAGCCACGGCUAACUACGUG